rnacentral:rRNA from 1 species
AUGCACAUUGUUCUUUGCAAGGUUAUGAUGAUGUUUCCAAGGAAAUAUACUGACCCUGAUGUGAUGAAGGGAAGGCCAAAGAGAGAAAACACAAAAACAGUAGCAUGCAACUGCCAAUCCUUGAUGAGACUACACCGUACAGCGGAAAAUGGAUGGUAUAUACACGAUUUCAGACAUGAACACAACCACCAUUUGUCAUCAUUGUGUGGCGAGAAACUACAUUGGCCAUCACACAGGAACAUUGACACACACACCAAAGAUAUAGUGAAAUGA